AUAUCAGCAUUGCUUUUUGAUGCUCAGAUCAAAGCAUGGUGUCUCUUCUGAUCAGUGUAGUCUGUCAUAUGUCCUUACGGUGAGAACUGUCUAUUAGCUUGAUUUUUGAAACAAGAGAUUUAGAAUACAAGAACUUGUUUUGUUUACCCCAUGCAUCAACUUGGUAUUGUAAUGUCUCCAGGAACGCUGUAUCUUUU
ensembl:snRNA U2 U2 spliceosomal RNA